GACGAACGCUGGCGGCGUGCCUAACACAUGCAAGUCGAACGGGACCAGGGGCAACUCUGGUUCAGUGGCGGACGGGUGCGUAACACGUGAGGAACAUGACCUUCGGCGGGGGAGUAGCCGGCCCAACGGCCGGGUAAUACCGCGUACGACCACAUGGGGACGAUCCCUCGAGUGGUGAAAGCAGCAAUGCGCCGAUGGAGUGCCUCGCGGCCUAUCAGCUAGUUGGG
rnacentral:rRNA from 1 species